rnacentral:rRNA from 1 species
UACGGAGGGUGCUAGCGUUGUUCGGAAUCACUGGGCGUAAAGCGCGCGCAGGCGGUCCUUUAAGUCUGAUGUGAAAGCCCACGGCUCAACCGUGGAGGGUCAUUGGAAACUGGGGGACUUGAGUGCAGGAGAGAAGAGUGGAAUUCCACGUGUAGCGGUGAAAUGCGUAGAGAUGUGGAGGAACACCAGUGGCGAAGGCGACUCUUUGGCCUGUAACUGACGCUGAGGCGCGAAAGCGUGGGGAGCAAACAGG